rnacentral:rRNA from 1 species
AGAGUUUGAUCCUGGCUCAGGACGAACGCUGGCGGCGCGCUUCAUCCAUGCAAGUCGAACGAGCCCGGGACUUCGGUCCCAAUGGGAAAGUGGCGAACGGGUGAGUAACACGUGAGAAACCUACCCCGGAGAUGGGAAUAGCCCAGGGAAACCUGGAUUAAUACCCAAUACCCUGCUUGCACCUCAUGGUGCGCUCAGGAAAUGCUUUUGUGCUCCGGGAGGGUCUCGCGGCCUAUCAGCUUGUUGGUGAGGUAAUGGCUCACCAAGGCAUCGACGGGUAGCUGGUCUGAGAGGACGAUCAGCCACACUGGGACUGAGACACGGCCCAGACUCCUACGGGAGGCAGCAGGAGGGAAUAUUGCGCAAUGGGCGAAAGCCUGACGCAGCGACGCCGCGUGGGGGAAGAAGGCCUUCGGGUCGUAAACCCCUUUCAGCAGGGACGAAAUUGACGGUACCUGCAGAAGAAGCGCCGGCCAACUACGUGCCAGCAGCCGCGGUAAUACGUAGGGCGCAAGCGUUGUCCGGAUUCAUUGGGCGUAAAGGGCUCGUAGGCGGUUUGGUAAGUCGGGUGUGAAAACUCAGGGCUCAACUCUGAGACGCCACUCGAUACUGCCAUGACUAGAGUCCGGUAGGGGAGUGUA